ensembl:lncRNA
GUAAGAGUGACCACAUAUCACAACAAAACAAUAAAAGUACUCUCGCUGAGGUAAGAGUAACCACAUAUCACAACAAAACAAUAAAAGUACUCUCGCUGAGGUAAGAGUAACCACAUAUCACAACAAAACAAUAAAAGUACUCUCGCUGAGGUAAGAAUGACCACAUAUCACAACAAAACAAUAAAAGUACUCUCGCUGAGGUAAGAGUAACCACAUAUCACAACAAAACAAUAAAAGUACUCUCGCUGAGGUAAGAGUAACCACAUAUCACAACAAAACAAUAAAAGUACUCUCGCUGAGGUAAGAAUGACGAUAUAUAACAACAAAACAAACAAAAAAAAAGUGUUGGCAAAACCUUCAAACACCACCAACCGCCCAGCUGACACUGACACUGACACAAGCUUGCAAACACACUAACUGGUGUCUUUUGGCAGUAUAGCUGUGAAAGGUUUUCUUCCAUUUUUGCAGGGUGUUCCAGCCCGUUACACAGAACUACACAGGGCAUAUCAUGGAUGUCUAGUGGAGAAGACACAUUUGUUUAUCUGUCCUUCACAUGACCAUAUGCUAUCAAAAUGUAUUUGAGGAUGGUACCAAAACUAGUUGCCUAU